rnacentral:rRNA from 1 species
UACGGAGGAGGCAAGCGUUAUCCGGAAUUAUUGGGCGUAAAGCGUCCGCAGGUGGCACUUCAAGUCUGCCGUCAAAGACUGGGGCUUAACCCUGGAAAGGCGGUGGAAACUGAAGCGCUAGAGUGCGGUAGGGGUAGAGGGAAUUCCCGGUGUAGCGGUGAAAUGCGUAGAGAUCGGGAAGAACAUCGGUGGCGAAAGCGCGCUACUGGACCGCAACUGACACUGAGGGACGAAAGCUAGGGGAGCGAAUGGG